CACGUAGGGGGCGAGCGUUGUCCGGAAUUACUGGGCGUAAAGAGCGCGUAGGCGGUCUAGUAAGCGAGGGGUGAAAGCCCACGGCUCAACUGUGGAAUUGCUUCUCGAACUGCUAGACUAGAGGCCGGAGGAGGAGAGUGGAAUUGCCGGUGUAGCGGUGAAAUGCGUAAAUAUCGGCAAGAACGCCAGUGGUGAAGACGGCUCUCUGAGACGGUCCUGACGCUGAGGCGCGAAAGCUGGGGUAG
rnacentral:rRNA from 1 species